rnacentral:rRNA from 1 species
GCAGUCGUACGAGAGUUUAUAACUCUAGUGGCGGACGGGUGAGUAACACGUGAGAAUUUACCUUUAGGAGGGGGAUAACAAUUGGAAACGAAUGCUAAUACCCCAUAUGCUUUCGAGUGAAAUGGAUUUAUAUUUAUUCGCCUAAAGAGAAGCUCGCGGCUGAUUAGCUUGUUGGUAAGGUAAGAGCUUACCAAGGCGACGAUCAGUAUCUGGUUUGAGAGGACGAUCAGACACACUGGAACUGAGACACGGUCCAGACUCCUACGGGAGGCAGCAGUGGGGAAUUUUCCGCAAUGGGCGAAAGCCUGACGGAGCAAUACCGCGUGAGGGAAGACUGCCUAUGGGUUGUAAACCUCUUUUCAGGGAGGAAUAAAUGACGUGUACCUGAAGAAUAAGCAUCGGCUAACUCCGUGCCAGCAGCCGCGGUAAGACGGAGGAUGCAAGUGUUAUCCGGAAUCACUGGGCGUAAAGCGUCUGUAGGUGGUUUAAUAAGUCAACUGUUAAAUCUUGAGGCUCAACUUCAAAAUCGCAGUCGAAACUAUUAGACUAGAGUAUAGUAGAGGUAAAGGGAAUUUCCAGUGGAGCGGUGAAAUGCGUAGAUAUUGGAAAGAACACCGAUGGCGAAAGCACUUUACUGGGCUAUUACUAACACUCAGAGACGAAAGCUAGGGUAGCAAAUGGGAUUAGAUACCCCAGUAGUCCUAGCCGUAAACUAUGGAUACUAGAUGUUGAACAGAUCGACCUGUGCAGUAUCAAAGCUAACGCGUUAAGUUAUCCCGCCUGGGAAGUAUGCUCGCAAGAGUGAAA